UUAACAGUUUAUACCCCUCUCUGAGGUUGAAGCCAGUCUCCUUGGCGCUGUACAGGUUUAUGCGACAGAACCUUCAGCAUGUGAAAGGAAGAGAAGGAAUUCUAAGAGACAUGGCACAUCUCCUUUGUCACCAAUCUUACUUCACCUUUAGAGGAACAUUUUACCAGCAGACCAACGGAAUGCCAAUAGGCAGCCCUCUAGCAGGACCCCUAGCUGACAUACUCCUAAGAGAGCUAGAAGUGAGAAUCCUACCGAAGUUCCAACCGCACUUGACAGGUAUGUAGACGAUAUACUCACGGUUUGGG
rnacentral:lncRNA from 1 species